UACGAAGGGGGCUAGCGUUGUUCGGAUUUACUGGGCGUAAAGGGCGCGUAGGCGGUGCGAUAAGUCAGGCGUGAAAGCCCCGGGCUCAACCCGGGAAUAGCGCUUGAUACUGUUGCGCUUGAAUCCAGGAGAGGAUGGCGGAAUUCCCAGUGUAGAGGUGAAAUUCGUAGAUAUUGGGAAGAACACCCGUGGCUAAGGCGGCUCUCUAGUACGGUACUGACGCUGAGACGCGAAAGCGUGGGGAGCGAACAGG
rnacentral:rRNA from 1 species